CUUUGAGAUUUAUCCCUGGAGGGAGUGUCAUUGUCAUCUUCAAUCCACAUACAUAGCAUUUCCCCAAGGGAAGGUUUGGGACAAGAGACCAGUGUUGCUCAAAGUGCAGAAGACACCAGUCCCUUCACCUCAAGAAAGGACCAGUUUGGACACCUCCCUUCUGCUAUGGUCACUGCCAUGAUUGCCACCAGCCCAAGCCCCUCUCAGGCAGUAGGAUGCCGUUUCCAUACCUGCUCCUGGCUGCCUGUGACAUGGUGAGUACAGCAUCAACUCCG